CAAUCAUUAAUCAUUAUUUAUAAUUUAUCGCUUUCUUCCGGAGACAGCUCAGCUCCACUGAUAGGAUUAUAAAUGGCGUCGCCGAUGCGAACUUUCUGAAAAGCUCUGCCUUUCUCCCUUCACGAGAUUCAGGAACGUGUAUACACGAUGGCGUUAUUGUCUCAAGCAGGAGGAGCAUACACUGUCCCUUCCGGACACGUAACACGUAAGCUCAAAGAUCAGGACUACAUCAGUUUCUGGCUGUGUAAGAAAUUUGAGGAUGAAAGAAGGUUUUGUUAGCUCCUACUCUAGGACUCUAUAUACCAACUCAGUGCUUAAGAGCAGCAAGAGAGGUCAUCAGUUGAUUGUUGCGGCAAGUCCUCCUACAGAGGAAGCUGUAGUUGCCACUGAGCCGCUUACGAGAGAGGAUCUCAUUGCCUAUCUUGCCUCUGGUUGCAAAACAAAGGACAAAUGGAGGAUAGGUACAGAACAUGAGAAGUUUGGGUUUGAGGUUAAUACUUCACGCCCUAUGAAGUAUGAUCAAAUAGCCGAGCUGCUCAACAGUAUCGCCGAGAGAUUUGAAUGGGAGAAAGUCAUGGAAGGUGACAAGAUCAUUGGUCUCAAGCAGGGGAAACAAAGCAUUUCACUUGAGCCUGGUGGUCAAUUUGAGCUUAGUGGUGCGCCUCUUGAGACUUUGCACCAAACCUGUGCUGAAGUCAACUCACACCUUUAUCAGGUCAAAGCUGUCGCUGAGGAAAUGGGAAUUGGUUUCCUAGGAAUGGGUUUCCAGCCCAAAUGGCGUCGUGAGGACAUUCCCAUGAUGCCUAAGGGGAGGUACGACAUUAUGAGAAACUACAUGCCGAAAGUUGGUUCCCUUGGACUUGAUAUGAUGCUUCGGACCUGUACUGUUCAGGUUAAUCUGGAUUUUAGCUCAGAAGCUGAUAUGAUCAGGAAGUUUCGUGUUGGUCUUGUCUUGCAACCUAUAGCAACAGCUCUGUUUGCCAAUUCCCCUUUCACCGAAGGAAAGCCAAACGGGUUCCUCAGCAUGAGGAGGUUUUUAAUCACAUGGUUCUCAUUUUCCAUCUAUUUAAAGGCUUUUCAGAUCCACAAGAUUUCUGGGCUAGAAGACUUCCAGACGACUACCAAGAAGUCUUCCAGACGACUUCCAGGAAGUCUUCUGACGGAGUCUUUUCUCAUGUCGCCCUUUCAUAACAUAUCUGAGCGUUUUGGUAAGUUUUUAUGUUUGAUUUUUCUUCAUUUGGUAACCUCCUGUUGCAUAAAGUUCAUACUUUUUUCCCAAACGUCUUCUUCACGAUUUCUUUCGAUAUGAAUUCGUUUUUUCCUUCUUUUCCUUUCUUCUUGUUGAUCACCAUAAUUUUCCGCCAAAUUUUCGAAUGUUUGUUCAAAAUGUUGAUCAAAAUAUUGAUCAAAACUUUCAUCAUCUACUCCCUCAAAAUUGUUAUUAGAAGAUGGAACCAUAUAUGUGAUGAAAAUGUAAAAAAGUGUUUUGCGGAAGAAGGAUCAAAAUGUUGAAUAAUGUGAGCGUAGUAAUAAGUGAAGAAGUUGAGCAAAUAAGGAAAAAUGGGAGAGUGAAAUCUUGAUUGAGAGGAGUGGCUUUUAAAUCUUGUGUGCUUUUAAAUCUUGAUCGAGAGAAGUGGUUUUGAAAUCUUGUAUCAUGAAUAACUUUAUAUAGAGUAAGAGGAGUUGUUUUGUCCAAAACAUACAAACACAUAAAUAAUCUCGUGACUGAAAUCAUGCAUUAUCUCGUGACAUGCACGUCCAAAACCUUGGAUAAUCUCGUGCCCAAAACGUGCAGACAAGUAGAACAUCUCGUAACCAAAACAUGCAUACAAACAAAACCAUCGCCUCUCAUGCACGUCCAAAAACAAUCUCGUGACACAUACAUACAAACAUAACCUGUCGUGACUUCUCUUGCCAAACCGAACAUGACAUCUCGUGCUUCUCGUGACUUCUCUUGCCUCUGUCUCUAUGCUUCAAAUGGUCCUACAAUCAUAUACAUGUAAAUGCAUCAGUGAGUCAGCCCAAUGUUCAACAUAGUUCAUGUAAAUGCAUCAGUGAUCUCAAAUAUAUAAGGAAACAAGGAUGUGGCAAGCGGAUAAAUAAAAAAGAGCAUUUCACAUUUAACAUUGAAGCAUACAAUAUUUUACAGAUAGAUGUUAAACAGAACAUGAAACAGACCAUUACACAGAACAUCAAACCGAAAAUUUAACCAAAGACACUAGUUUGUAGACAUCAAAAAGAACAUUAACCCAACAUCUUUGUUAUUAGCUUCUGCUUGAGCGCUUCUUCAAAUUCAGAUAGUGGUUCAUUUUUGCCAAUGAGCCUCUCUAGCAAACCCAUCUUCGAGAAUCUCUCUUUCACAACCAAGUCUUUCUCUCUAAUAGACCACAUGGUCUGAAACUGAGAGGCAGCCUGCUGAUCUACCACAUUUCUCUUACCAGAUGCUGCUUUCGCUGCCUUCACACCAGGAGGACGUUUUGUUGCUUCAUCAUCAAGAUCGACAGUUGCUUGGGAGCUGGCUGAUUGUGCUCCAUCCUCACACUUUCUUUUCCUAGUGGUUCCAUCCCUCUUACUUGUUGCAAGCUCACACCACUUUUGGUCAUGCCGCAGUUCCUCCCAAGCGUGGUAAAGGUUAAACUUCUUCUUAUGGUCAUUGUAGAAGAUUUCAUGUGCCAGUUUGACUACAUCAUUUUCACUCUGGCCACUAGUUUUCUGUCAUGUUGCAGCAUUAUAGGAGCAGUAGAACUUGCAAACAAGAUCGUUCAGCUUCUGCCACCUUUGCUUACAGUGAAGGGCUUCUCGCUUUUCACCUUUCACCACCUUUGGACUAGCUGCAUAGUAAGCUGCUAUGCGUUUCCAGAAAGUACCGGCUUUCUGCUCAUUGCUGACGACAGGGUCCUUGUUGGUGUUUAGCCAUGCGCUAAUUAGCACCAGAUCAUCUGUGGGAGUCCAUUUCUUUCUUUCUUUGCGUCAUUUAGCAUGAGUCUUCACAGAAGCUUGAGGUUUCAGUACAUUGAGUACUGAACAGAGGGACUUGUGAUGAAAAACUCCCAUAAUUAAAGGGUUCAGGAAGGACGAGAUCUUGUUGACUGUUCAACAGGUCAACAAAAUUUGUUGUCUGACUAUAGGGAUUUGUUGAAUCCAUUUAGUAUUAUGUGAGAACAGAGAGAAAGAAGAAGAGAUGUGUUUGAGGAAGAAUAGAAUGGGAGAUCGUGUUUGAAGAUGAAAAGAAAGAGAGAAAGCUACCGGAUUUUAUAAAUGAAAAGAGCUACUGGUUGGCUUUUAAUUGCCUUUACUCUAACAAAUUUAUUAGAUUUGAUUGCCUUAACUCUAACAAAUUUAUUACCAAGCAGACUCUCCUAACACGCAUUAAUCAGAUUUGAGAGUUAUCAGAAGCAUUCAUCACCACCACAACCACAAUAUAACAAGCAUAUUCACUACCAUCACCUAACUCUAACCACCACCUAACUCUAACCAUCACCUAACUCUAAGCAUUUAUUAACAUAAGUAAUGAGAUCAAGUUUGCACACUAACCUAACCGAGAGGGGGUGAUACGCCUCCAAGAGCUUGAAGAGUGGCGUUGAGAUGACUUGAGAGCUACCGGUUUUGAUACGCCUCCUGUGUUUCACUCCUCAAGUUCUCACUAAUUUGUGCAUUAUGAUCUUUCCCUCCUCGCAUGAUUUCAUCAAUGUAAACCAAAUUAGCAAAGCACACAGUGUAACAAAGAACCAUAUAAUCAAAAACAAGUGUCUUCAUAUUCAUAACACCUAAUUAAAUCACCUUUGAACUUUAGACAUAUGAUCAAUCAAAACCGAUAGAGUCUGUUGGGAGACUUCUUCCUCUCCAGAAUAGCCGAUAGAGAAAUCUUCCUCACACUACCUGAUAAGAAAAUAAAAAAGGGAUUCACCUUUGAACUUUAGUCAUAUGAUCAAUCAAAACCCUAAUAGAGAUUAAUACAAAGAAGGAUGAGGUGAGAAAGUUAAUUACUUCGGUAGUUGAUCUGGAAGUUGAAUAGAUCGUGAGAGCCAUCUGAAAGAGCGACGGAGUAGACCGACAAAGUCACCUUAUAUGUUAUAUUUUUCUUAUAUGUUAGAUUUUUAACUAAUGUGUAUCUAUAGUGUUUCAAAGCCACGAGAAGCAACAACUCUUAACCAGGAGAAAAGUCACCAGAAUUUGCAGUGUCGCCACCUGCUAAAAAGAUAUGUGGAACUUUAAGUCAAUGACAGAUGAUGAUCCAAUGAAGUUUGGGUUUGGCUCACCAGGAACUCAUUGCUUUGAUGUCACCAGAAGCAACAACCAUUUCAAGCUCUGUAAUUCCAAUGUUGCCAUCCGUCUAAACCAGUCUACGAAGAUGGUCGAAGUCCCAGCUGUCGUUAAUCCAAGAUAACCCUUCUCUUUCAGACAUUCUUGGCGAGGUUUGCGACAUCAGGACAACAUACAAUGACCACAUUCAGACUACUCAACGACUUAUGGUUAACGACCGAGUAGAUAAGGAUGCAACUGUUUGCGUCAGCGUUUUUGACAGUCUUGCUGAACUCCUCCACAAGAGAUUGGAAGCUGGUAACCAACAUCAACCCCAAGUUUAUAGGAGGUCGUCUUCACCUCAAUGCUACUUCUGGGAACCAUUUUAUUUUAACAAUGAGGUGGCCGCAAACCAUAAUCUAUUUGAGGAGUACUUAAAACCACGACGCCACAUUUGGAUUACACACAAUUUGCAGGUUGUCAACCCGACAAUGACUCCACCAGUGGGAAGCAGUAUCGUGGUGUGAAGAAGCUGGAACAGGUUUCACUAGGCGAAUUGGAGAACUAUGUACUGGAGUCACCCUCACGAGCUAUUGAGUUCUUAUGCAAAUCCAAGAUUGCCUAAUUGGAAAAAACUACGGCUGGUGUUACAUCUCCUGUGUUAAGUGAUCCAUGAAGCUCCAGCGUGGAAUGUCAUCUUUCACAUGCCCAACAUGUUUUAAUGCCAGUGUUGUUGGAGUUGUCAGGUUCAAUUAACGCAUUAGGAAGAAAAGAAGCACAAUGCAAUAAUAUCAUGUAUUUUUAUUUGUAUAAGAGGAGAGAUGCAAUAUAGAUGUCAAGCCAUUUCAAAUUUUGAUUAUAUACACCAUUUCUCUA